ensembl:lncRNA
UGAAUGCUUCUCCAGGUUCAGACACUGUGAUCUCAGUGUUAUUUAAUUUAAUCUUCAAACCACCCAUGGGUUUAAGAAUGAUUCUUUCCAUUUUACAGAAAUUGAAGGGCAGAGCAGUUAAAGGAACUUGACCACAACAAAAUACAUCAGAAAAGCGAUGAAAGAUCAAGGAGGAUGCAGACCACAUCACGCUGAGACCUCGACAGCCCGCGGAGACCCACUGAACCAGGACCGACGCUGGGCUAGAGGCCCAAAUCUGCCCCAAGGGGCUGGUGGAAUCCUGGGCCGAAUGAACCCCGGCGAGCACUGGACGUGGUCACAGGCACAGAGCAGAGAGAGAACAAGGAUUCGUGUCCCCGAGGGUUUGUGACCCACCCAGGACGCUGUGAACUAACAGAGCCGGCAGCUUGAGAAGAUGCCUGAGGAGAAGGGGGUGGGGGCUGGGAUGAUUUUCUGCUGAAACCAUCAGGCGAAAACCUCAGGAAGCAGGCAGGGCUAGUAGACUGGCCGUAGUGCCUGCGGCCACUCAUCCCAACUCUUCCUGCCACUGCUGGCUCUCUGUCCCGUCACCCACCAUCACCUUGCCGUCUAUCUGCUGAACGAGAGGACAUCCGGCUCUAAGUGGGGGUAGUGAUGAAGCAGUUACAGAGCAUUCACUUAAAACACUGUCGUUUAACUAAACUGCUGACCCUUCCUCACACCGCUGCCUGGGGUUCCCAGAGACCCAUUGUUUUUCCUUGUCUAAAGCUUCAUCAUUCCUGGUCGUGGCUCAUGACACCAACUUAGAGCAAAAUGGACAGGAGCUGCCAGCUACAUCUACACGAUUGUCAGAAAACUGAGAAACCAUAAGAUUUCAGGCAACGGUUACUCACCAUUUCGGAAUACAAAAUAAUGAGUUCCAUGGGCUUCAUCUAUCUAGUCACUACUAUAACCCUGUGUUCAGGAGACAGGAAGUGUCAGUCAUGUCCAACUCUUUGUGACCCCAAGGACCAUAGCCCACCAGGCUCCUCUGUCCAUGGGAUUCUCCAGGCAAGAACACUGAAGUGGGUUGCCAUUCCCUUCUGCAGGGGAUCUUCCUGACCCAGGGAUCGAACCUGCGUCUCCUGCAUUGCAGGCAGAUUCUUUAAUGUCUGAGCCAACAGAGAUAACUGGUAAAUCCUUAUCCCUGAGUUAAUGAAUGAACAGUUAGCACACUUAUAAAAAAUUCUCCAAGUCCGUUUCUGGAUAUUUAUCGGAAGAAAACACAACAGUAACUUGAAAAGAUCUUCACCCUCAUGUUCACUGCAGAAUUAUUUACAACAGCCAAGAUCUGGAAACAGCAUAAAUGUCCAUCAGUGUUUGAAUGGAUAAAGAUGUGCUCCCCACACAAUGGGACAGUAUUUGUUCAGCCACAAAGAAUGAGAUCCUGUCAUUUGCAACACUCGGGUGGACCCCAAGGGCAUUAUGCUCAGUGAAGUAAGUCAGACAAAGAUAAACACUGUGUGACCUCACUUCAAACAGCAGACAGGCACCGAGCUCAUAGACAUAGAACACAGACGGAUGGUGGCUAGAGGGGAUAGCAGGGGUCGGGGCGUGAGCAAAAGGGAGUCAAAGGCUGCAAACUUGUAGUUAUAUAAUAAAUAAAUCAUGAGGAUGCCACAUACAGCAUGGCGGCUGUAGGUAAUAAUUCUGUAUGCAUAUGUGAAAGCUGCUAAGAAUAGACCCUAAAAGUGCUCCUCAUGAGGAAAAAACCAAAAUUCUGUAAUAUGGAUGCUGAUCAACAUUUGUUAGACUAACUGGGGUGAUCAUUCCACAGAAUGUACAAAUAUCGAAUCGCUAUAUUGUAUGCCUGUUACCUAUAUGAUGUUAGAUGUCAACCACACCUCAAUAAAAACAAAACAGAAAAAAAAAAAAAAAACCCGAAGCAACAAAAACAAACUCUCCAGGGAAAGAAACAAAGGGCAAAAUGUUUAAUCCUACAGAAAUGUCACUGCUGUGAAAAAUGCACAGAACAUUUUGAGGCUCCAAGAAAAUGUUUUUAAGAUCCCUGAUCUCGUGAAAGUGAGAGGCUGAGCUCAGCCCCGUGAAAGCACUCUCUUCAUGAGAACAAAUGUCAAAAGAAAAAGAAGGAAAAUCCUGAGAGUCACCCAGGGAGAGGUGACCUGCCUGCUGUGAAAGCGCAGAAAAGGGAACUGAAUAAAUGGAUCAGAUUUAAGGAAACGACUCGCUUCUAUGGUGGGGGGGAAACUGUUUAACAGGGAGAACAAGGUGAGAGGGAAAUGAAAGAAAAACUGGGGAGACUCGCUCAAGGAGAAAAAAUUUAAAGAUAAAAAGAUUUCAUUUCAAAGCUUCCUCUUCCCAGCAUCUUUCUGAACAGAGCUUGACCAGAAACCAGAACGGGGCAGCAGAAUUUACCCACAGGGAGCUGGUGACUGCAUCAGGGCCCAGAGGGGACCCCCAGACCAUUGUUCUCAUGAAGGGACCUGGGGCCACAACUGGGGACUUGGACACCCGCUUGGGCCGCACUCGCGUCCAUGUCUACUUGGCAUCGGCUCUGAGCCACGCAGGAAGGUAAUUCCUCACUGGACCGGGUGGUGCCUUUCCAGCUCAGCCACUUCUGCAUGAGCAGCCUGGAUGCAGAGACACCUUCAGACAUUUUCAAGACCUAGGUCCCUUGCUGGUGAAGCUUCGUCCAGGGGCCGCUUCCGUGGCCACGGGGCCCGGGUCAGGAGGGAGAGCUCAGGGUCCUCUCUCACUCCUGAAGGGACAUCGGGCUGGUCCCUGUCCUGG